UCCUUGAGCUUCUCGGCCAGCAAGUCGGC
rnacentral:sRNA from 1 species